rnacentral:lncRNA from 12 species
CACUCUACAUACACCAUCGAGUUAAUCUGCCAACAGUCCUGUGAAGGAGGGAUCAUAAGCAGUGACGAAAGCUCAACAAGGGUAACACCAGAGAAAACAAGAAUUCAGAGACAAUACAUAGUGUAUCAGGUGGAGUUCUUGACUGCAAGCAAAAUAAACCACUUCUGGCUAACUGAAACAAGAAGGGAAUAUACUGGAAUAUCAGGAAGCUCAGAAACCAUUGUGAAGCCCAGAGUCCUACCUGGCUCCUUAACACUACUGGCACUGAGAGUCAACUACAGUACCUUUUUGCUGCUCCUGAGUGAGUACUCCCCCCUACACUUCUGCAAUCC